UGAGGACACAAUUUUCGGACAGAGGAAGUAUCUUGGCUGUAGCCGCUUGACCUUGGACCAAACUUCAUUUGAGGUGUCAUUCCGAACAACGUACAGGACAAGGAAUACAAGACUAAAGAACUACAGACUCUUCACAACCUGCUCAAACUCUUGGUACAGGACCUCACCACACGGGUCAAGAAGGUUUCCGUCUCAUUUCUACUCUGAAGCUCACCUUCUCCUGCUCAAACUGCUGAUAAAUGUUUCUGCUGCUCUAAAGUCUGGUCUCCAGAACUUCCUAAAAACUCUCAAAGUCUCUUCUGCUGCAGGUUGCUUUGUAGAACUGUUCCAGAAAACCUCACUAAACCACAUGGAGGGGCCUCAAGAUAGUCGUCCAAAUGAAACCGUACAAAAAUCAAACUAACACAACCCAAACGCUAAAGUCUCCUGCAGCCUACCAGAGAACCUCUGAGAACAGAGAAUCAGGACAGGAACUCUUACCUUCUGGACAACCAACACUGGUUCUCAAACAAGAAUACAGAAUGUGUCUGACCAAAAACCUCUGAAGACUCACUACAGCCAAGAUAAAGACACAACUCAGCUGCACCAAAUCCACUAAUCACUGCACACAUUAGCACCAUGUGCUAACUGUGGCUAAAGAACCACAUUUACCAAGACAACUAUCCAGUACAAAGCCCUGAAACACACCAAGAAACACAUUAAAGACGAUUUUACUGCUGGAAGCUGCAAGCCAACGCCUAAAAAACAAACUGAAGCAACGGAGCCAAACCCGGUUCACUGGUGAAGAGAAACAGAGGAAAUGUUUGUCUGCAGCUAAAUAAAGCAGGAAGACACUGAGCUGCUCAGGUGUUCCUGAUAACACCAAGCUGCUCAGGUGUUCCUAAUAACACCAAGCAGCCACCUGGACAGCCAAUAGGAACACAGCUUCCUGGAAGUCCAGAGGGCUGGCUUAGUGAAGGAAAUUUAGUUUAAAGUUGAAGCAGAAAGUUAACAAAGAAAGUUGAAAACCACCUUCUGAUACCUGAAAUCUCUGAGUUUUCACACAAAGAACACCUGAACAUGUCAAACUGGUUUCAUAGUAGAACCAUCAUUGUAAAAACGUCAUAGUAUGGUGUAUUGCUCAAAAACAUUAGGACCCGGCUGUCAGGGGACAAACAUGUAAGAAACAUGAGAACAGAGAGAACCCAACCAGUAGGUCACAGUUUAUCAUCCCCCAGUCAUCUCCUGAAGUCCAUAUGGUGAGAGACAUCAGUAUCUGGUUGUUCAUUUACCAGAGGAUGCUUAUAAUCAUGCUGAUGUGGUCUGCACUCUACAGUAUUUUAGUGACUUAAUAAAUGCCUAAGUUGUUUUUUUUUUUAAUGUUUUUUAGUUUUUAAUAAACAUCUAACAGCAUAUAUGUAAUCAAUAAAUGGCCUUUGCCUAUCUUAAGAAAAAUUCACUCAGAACUCUGAUAUGUUAACAGUACUAAAUAAAUCAAUAAAUACAUGCAUACACACAAAAAUAAGUUAAUACAUUAACUGUGUUAAGAUUUUUUUAAAAAGUUGUUUAUGUUUUUGCAGAAUCCAGUAUUGCACACUGGUUGAUCAUUACAUUUUAUUAGUUUGAUUUCACUGUUUAAAAUGAUGCCACCUCUUUUCAGACAGAACCUGUGAUAAUAAAACAAUACAAAAUUUUUAGUUCCGUGUUAAUAAAGCACUUAAAGCUUUAAGUAUGGCUAAAUGCUUUUUUCAAAAUUAAAUAUAUCACUCCUUAGGUGGUAGUGGCCCAAAGUUCAGUAAAGUUGGAAAGAUAUUCACAAAUUCGGACUUCCAGCAUCAAUAACUCAUUAGAUAUAGGUUGUCAAAACAUAAACGGUGCCUCUUUCCCAUUGUUGCAAGGCAGACAAUGUGCUACAAGCCCAGUUUUAUCAAAAGUAGCUGUCUUUCAAGCUACAGGAAUAACAUUAGUGUCUAUGGAGUGAACAGGGUCCGUCUGCAAUUUGCAAAACUGCUGCAACAGUAAAGAGAGACAAAUAUUCAAUAACUUCACUCUUAUACAUUGUAGUGUCACUAAAAUCACUGCAGCCUUCAACUGGCUCCUGUUGACAAAGUGUUUUAACAGAAAUGUAAAUGCUGUAAUUUGAUUCUUUUAAUGAACCAUGUAACUUGAAUGGAUGUGAUGCUGGUGUGACCACAGUGCACACGUCUGAUGUUGCUCACAGUGGUCCAAGGGACGCUCAGGGAGUUUGUGUGUUUGCUCAGACUCAUGAAAAAUUACAGGGAACAUUGUUUGGGACUCAAGCAGUUCCUUCUUUUACUCACUAUCUCCCUAGCCUUAGAAAAAAAAAACCUGUUCACAUGGCACAGAUGAGGCUGAGGUACACAGGAAAUGUUUGGCUCCAUUGUACAAGUUUGGGUAAACGGUUUUGUGGGUUGCCCAGUAAGCCAGUGGGUCUGCCGUUCUUUCUACAAUUGCAUUCGCUGUGGCGCUUUGCAUUUACCAGGCUCUACUUGCGUCUUCGUCUAAUAGGCUCCACAGUUGAACUGAAAAAUAUUGAAGAUCAUCAUCAUCAUCAUCACCAGAAAUGUCAGUCAUUCCCUAUUCAGAAGAGAAAAAGAAUACCUGUGGAAGGUGCUGCUGGUGGUGGGGGACGAGGCUGCGGUGGUGCUUGUGACGUAGAUAACUGCUGCUUGGUAUUCUUUAUGUUAAUUGUUGUGCAUUCUGUUAUUAAACGUUCUUUCACACUG